ACAGAGGGUGCGAGCGUUAAUCGGAAUUACUGGGCGUAAAGCGUGCGUAGGCGGUUUCGUAAGUCGGAUGUGAAAGCCCCGGGCUCAACCUGGGAAUUGCAUUCGAGACUGCGAGGCUCGAGUGCGGAAGAGGGAAGUGGAAUUUCCGGUGUAGCGGUGAAAUGCGUAGAUAUCGGAAGGAACAUCAGUGGCGAAAGCGACUUCCUGGUCCAGCACUGACGCUCAGGCACGAAAGCGUGGGGAGCAAACAG
rnacentral:rRNA from 1 species